GCCUUCGUGGUAUAGUGGUCAGCACACUCGGCGCGUAUUCGAGAGGUCCGUGGUUCGAGUCCCGGCGAGGGCA
rnacentral:tRNA from 1 species